AUGAUGAAAAUCGAGAUUUGGACCUAGAACGGAAAGAAAUCGAUUAAGGGAUAAUUACGUCUUUUUUUCACCUUUGUGGUAUCGAGAGUUUCCAGGUUAGCUCGGGUUGGAGGCCGUCAGAGAUAUUAUCACACUGUCAAGCUAACGCUAUUGGUGUAGUGAUUUCAAGUACUUUGAGCCUAUGGCAUGUAUAGGAGUUUAAAUAUUAGAGUAUGUGAUAUGGCUUUAACCAUAUGUGUUGGCCUAUUUUGAUUAUGGGGUUGUAAAUCUAUUUUAAUUAUGCAUGCAUGUGCUAUGGUAUUAUGUGAUGAGUUUAUAAUGAUUAUAGUAUGAAUGUGGUAAAGAUGUGAGUAAAA